GAAACUGCUCAGCUUUCUGAGGCUCGGGAGAUGAAAGGAGAGAGAAAGGAGGCGCAUUGGCAGGAAGAGCUGGGCCUGACUUCCUUGGAAAAGCCAGCCCUGGUGCCAGUCAGUGCCCCACCCACCCUGGGAUCCCUGUGGGCCCACAAUGGGCCCUCUCUUGGUAAUCCAGGGAUGAUAAACACAUGGUGCAGGCUCUCCAGGGACACAUGGCUCACAGAGGGAUACAUGCAGAGGCAGGAUGUGCAGAAGCAGCUAUUAUAAUUCACCAGAGAAGGCCGGGAGUUCUCCAAAGUUGAGGUGGCACUGAACAAGAUUGGCAGGGAUUCAGACCUCUCUCCAGCUGGCCUCUGUAGUGGCUCUGCAGAGUCUAGUGGUGACUGAAUCUACUGCUAAGCCAGAUGCAUAAACCUGGGCAUCAGAACCCCUCUCUGAGCCUUGGUUUCCACCCAUAAAAUGAGAGGGUUUACAGCCUCUAUUUUAAAAUGCGGUAACUCAACACAACUGCCUUUUUCUCUACGUAGCAUUGGCAGAGUCAUGGGGCUCCAAUCAGGCCCAAGGCCAGGCCUUUAUUUUUCUCCUAGAGAGCUCACUCAGAAGUUCAUUUCCAUGCCCCGUGCCCAAGGCCAGGUCUCCUUGAAAUGCAGCCAAAAGCUCAUUAAAUGUACACAGAAGGGAGAGCCACUGGGACGUGAGGGCCUGCUCUGCUCAGCAUGACCAGCGCCGGGUGUGUAGCUUUCUGUGACCCAUCUCCUCCGGCUGCAUUUUCCCCACCUCUGGGGAGCACCUCUGUUCCAGAAGGCUCUGAGUUGGAAACACACAGGAUGAAUUUGGGCACAUGUCCUCAGUCACAAAUGCCAACAGAAUUGGAAUAUCCAGCAAAGUGCUUUCCAGCCUCCUGGUGCCCAGAGACCUGGGAAGCCAGAGAGUGGAGAGUCCAGGGUAGGAGGUAGAAAGAGCUGUGCAGUGGAAACCCAGAAACCCAGCUCCAACCCUGACUCAGCCAACCGCUAACUCAGUGCCGUGGACAAAAGAAUAAUAUCAACGUGCUCAUGUGCAUGUGUGUGCAUGUGUGUGCGUGUGUGUGCAUGUGUGUGCGUGUGGGCAUGUGUGCAUAUGCAUGUGUGUGUGUUUGCAUGUGUGUGUGCAUGUGCGUGUUUGUGUGUGUGUGCGUGUAUGUGUGUGUCCCCAUGUGCCGGGCCCAGAAAGGAAAUAUCACUGUGAGUAAAGAAAGAAGCCCUUGUCCUUCUGAGGCUUCCACUCAAUUAUAAGACAAGAUGCACAAAAGUAGUGUAGAUAAAGUGCAAUGGCAAAAAGUAGAUGACAACUUUACCUCCAACUACAGGGACUGGGACUGAUUUCCUGGCAAGGAGGCA
rnacentral:lncRNA from 1 species